rnacentral:sRNA from 1 species
GCCAGGUGUGGUGGCACACACCUGUCAUCCCAGUAGCUUGGGAGGCUGAGGCAGGAGGAUCUUGAGGUGGAGGCCAGCCUCAGCAACUUUGGGAGGCCCUAAGCAACUCAACGAGACCCUGUUUCUA